GAGUGCUGCUAUUACCUGACAUAUUCUUGGCAAAGUAACUUGUCUUAUAAUUUAAUAUCUUUUAAGUGUCAUAAAUAAGACUUCUAAAAAAUACAAGUGAUGCUACCUGUGGGAAUUCAAAGAAGUAAUUAUUCAUAAAGAUACCAGUGAAAGGUUUUUCUAGAACACUUUUCACUUGACUUCUAGAAUCAGGCCUGGAUUCUACUAAAAAUCUUUGGAAUCACUUGUUAGCUUUGAUAAGGUCAAUUACCCAGGAGUUAUUGAUAAUCACUCUUUUUUGAAAAAAGGGUUAGGAUUAUUAUUUGGGAGUACUGAGUGAAUUUUAUAAUUCAUACCCUAGUUGACUGAAAUGAGUAUUAUAUGCUUAAAUGUUCAUUUUAGUAUAUAGUAUAUUAAAACACCAUUUUAAAUCAAAGUAUACUCUGAUCAUCAGUUUUCCUAGUCCCUAACUAAUUAAAAUUGCUAAAUUUGUCAGUAUAGAAAUAGUUUCAUGUUUUUUUAGCUGUGUUCUGAUCAGUGAAGGGAAGAGCGUAUUUGAAACCAGAAUGCUGUAAGGAGCCAUAGUAUUUGGAUACACCUUUCCUACCACCUACUUCACUUUCUCAUAAUAUGCACAAAUACUCAGGCUGCUAUUCUCCUCUGUUUAAAGGGUAAGCAAAAGAAAGAGAAAUCACGAGAAAUAGGAGAAACUGUGUCUCUCAGACACAGUUCUUUUACAUGGGGUAUAUUAAAAGUUGAUUGAGUAUAAUCACCACAUUAAAAAUUAAGUGACUACGAUAGAACAUGUAAAAGAAAAUAGGUACAUGAAUUACAUACUAUAUUGAUUAAUCAGAACCCAACUAAUUAUAUUACUCAAUAGAUCUGUAAGUUUAACACAUUUAUUCAAGAAGUAAGUAGCAAGAAAAUACAGAGUAUUUUAGUGGAGACUUAUGUUGGAUUUUUACAUGGAAUAAACACGUAAGUAUACAGGAAUAUCAGUCACUGAUUUGUAUGACAACUCUUUCACUGCAACCCAAUGAAACAAAGUUUAAUUAUAGGGGCGAGGGGAGCAACCAAAGCCGUUAAAAAAAAAAAACUUCCAAUUAAUAAAAUUCUACUCACUAGAACUUUCCAUUCUUUAACAAAAAAAAAUUUUUAACGUUUAUUUAUUUUUGAGAGA